AUUGAACGCUGGCGGCAGGCCUAACACAUGCAAGUCGAGCGGAGCGGCGGACGGGUGAGUAAUGCCUAGGAAUCUGCCUGGUAGUGGGGGAUAACGUACGGAAACGGGCGCUAAUACCGCAUACUAUCAGAUGAGCCUAGGGCGGAUUAGCUAGGUGGUGGGGUAAAGGCCUACCAAGGCGGCGAUCCGUAACUGGUCUGAGAGGAUGGUCAGCCACAUUGGAACUGAGACGCGGUCCAGACUCCUACGGGAGGGAGCAGUGGGGAAGAUUGGACAAGGGGCGAAAUCCUGGUCCAGCCAUGCCGCGUGUGUGAAGAAGGUCUUCGGAUUGUAAAGCACUUUAAGUUGGUAGGCGUUACCAGCAGAAUAAGCACCGGCUAACUUCGUGCCAGCAGCCGCGGUAAUAC
rnacentral:rRNA from 1 species